rnacentral:rRNA from 1 species
UACGGGGGGAGCAAGCGUUGUUCGGAUUUACUGGGCGUAAAGGGCGCGUAGGCGGCCACCGAAAGUCAAUUGUGAAAUCUCCGGGCUUAACUCGGAAAGGUCAACUGAUACUGCGGGGCUAGAGUGCGGAAGGGGCAACUGGAAUUCUCGGUGUAGCGGUGAAAUGCGUAGAUAUCGAGAGGAACACCUGCGGCGAAGGCGGGUUGCUGGGCCGACACUGACGCUGAGGCGCGAAAGCCAGGGGAGCGAACGGG